ACCUAGCUGGCUCAGUUGGCAGAGCAUCUGACUCUUGCUCUCAGGGUCGUGAGUUCAAGCCCCACAUUGGGUG
rnacentral:tRNA from 1 species